rnacentral:rRNA from 1 species
UACGUAGGGUGCAAGCGUUAAUCGGAAUUACUGGGCGUAAAGCGAGUGUAGGCGGUCUUAUAAGUCGAGUGUGAAAGCCCCGGGCUCAACCCGGGAAGUGCACUCGAAACUGUGAGGCUAGAGUAUCGGAGAGGUUGGUGGAAUUCUCGGUGUAGAGGUGAAAUUCGUAGAUAUCGAGAGGAACACCGGUGGCGAAGGCGGCCAACUGGACGAAUACUGACGCUGAGACUCGAAAGCGUGGGGAGCAAACAGG